rnacentral:rRNA from 1 species
ACUAGCUACUGAAUCAAUUAUAAAAAUUGAUAACAUAAGGGAAAAUAAUGAUAUUACCUUAUUAUUAGUGUCGUCCAAAACUGGUGCCAGAAGACUCGGUAAGGCCAGAGACACAAACGUUAAUCGUCUUAAUCAGGCGUAAAGGGUUUGUAGGCGGCUUUUAAUUAAUUUAUAAAAUAUUUAAAUAAGUUAAGAAUAAAAGCUAGAAUCAAAUAGAGGAUAUAUCAAAUAAUGCUUAGAGUAGGUCUGAUAUCCUUAAAUACUAAGUAGAAUAUUAAAAGCGAAAGCUUUUUUCCAUUAAUGAUUGACGCUCAGAAACGAAGGUGAGGAUAGGAAAUAGGAUUAGAUACCCAAAAUACCCCUCUCUGUCAACGAUGAAUGGUAGUUAUUAGUAAUAAAUUUAUUAAUGACAUUGUUAACACGAUAACCAUUCCGCCUUGUGAGUACAACUGCAAAGUUGAAAACAAAAAAAUUAGUCGGUUUCGGAGCAAACGAAGUGAAGCAUGUUAUUUAAU